UCCAUGAUACCAUGUUGCUUCCUUUUAAAGAAUGAAAGAUACAGUUAAAAUUAAGAUUUGAAAAGAAUAUAGUCUCUUCACUUAUCUUUAAACAUACACACACACACACACACACACAUAUAUUUACACAUAUAUGUGUGUGUACAUAUAUAUUUCUAAUUUUAAAGUAGUGUUUUUAAUUCACAUACGAGUUCCAAAGAGUGUAUAGUGGGUUCCCACAUAUUCCACACCCAUUGUUUCUCCCAUUGUUAAUAUCUUACAUUACCAUGGUUCAUGUGUCAUGACUAAUGAAUCAAUAUUGAUACAUCAUUAUCAGCUUAAAUCCAUACUGUAUUCCAGUGCCCUUAGUUUUUAAUCCAAUGUUCUUUUCCUGCUCCAGAGUCCCUUUCAGGAUAGCAUGUAAAUUAAUUACACUUAGUCAUUGGGUUUCCUUACCCUUCUCUAGGAUGUGACAGUUUCUCAGACUUUCCUUAUUUUGGAUGACCUUUGGAGCUUUGAGGAGUACUGGUAUGGUAUUUUGUAAACUGUCUCUCAAUUUGGGUUUCUCUAGUGGUUUCUCAUGAUUAGAGUGGAGUUAUGGGUUUUGAGGAGGAAGAUGGCAGAGGUAAAAGUGUCUCUGGUCUCAUCACAUUAUACCAAGGAUACAUACUGCCAGUAUAGUUUACUACGGUUGAUCGCCUGUUGGGGGUGAUGUUUGCCAGGUUUCUUGUCCGUUUGGGGUGCCAGAACAGAAUACUAUACACUGGGUAGCUUAUAAACAACAAAAAGUUAUUUUUCACCGUUCUGGAAACUGAGAAGUCCAAGACCAGGGUGACAGCAUGGUUAUGAUCUGGUAAAGACACUCUUCCUGGUUGCAGACUGUUGACUACUUGCUGUAUCGGCAGCCUGGCUGAAGGGGUGGAAGAGCUCUCUUGGGAUUAUUUUAUAAGAGUACUAGUCCCAUGCACCUCCCAAUCACCUUGAGGAGGUCCCACCUCUUAGUACCAUCACCUCGAAGGUCAGGAUCCCAACAUAAGAAUUUUAAGGGGGCACAAACGUUCAGACCAUAACACCAGGUUCCUCCAAUGUAUAGUUACUUUCCUCCUAGCUUUCCACACUGUACUUUUUAGGAAGAAGUCACUGUGUGUAGCCCACAAAAAAGGGGUGGAGAUUGAAAUUUCACCUCCUAGACAGGAAGCUUCACUUGAUUUUAUUUCCAUGGACUUAUUAUCCAAGGAUGUUGCUUCUGCUGAAUCAUGCUGGUAUAAAAAUCUUGUCCUAGAGGUGUGUGUUCAUAUGAAUUGAACAACUGUCCUACAGUUAACUUUUGAUGUGUACUUACCUACUUACGUAUACAUUUUUUCUUUUCUUCAUGGGAUAAACAGUAUAAUAAAUGCCUUUGGAUUAAAGAUAAGAAAUAAGGCCAUUGAAUUAAAUAACUAAACUAGAAGAGUUUAUUUACUGGGCUUGGCUUCAAAUUCGUUUUAAUAGUCAAUUCCCAGAGUUCUUUCAAUUCCAGGGAGAGGUGGAAUGGGAUUUUACACAUCUUUUUUUUUUCUUUUAAGAAUAUGAAGAAUUUUGUGAUAAAAGAAAAGAAAAUAGAAAAGCGAUGCAAUUUUUUAUGGGUAGUAUUUUUAACAUACUUCACAUACUUGCUAAACAUGCUAUUUAUUAUAUCCAAAACAAUGAAUGAAAGCAUGACAUCUUACUAUCAACAAAAAAUAAUAUUUAGAUAUAUUUUUGGGGGACUCAACGAUGGAAAUGGCCACAGUAGCAACAUUGGAGUUCGAUUUUGAGAAUUAAAAUGACUAUGCACCCAAACAUGUGCUAUUUAAAAAUAAAUGUGGGAAGCAGAUAUAUCUUCCCACAAUAUAAUUAUAUUCUAUGUUUAUUUAUCACAUCUUAACAGAAAUAUUUUGGGGGAGUUUAAAUGGAAACAAAUUGAUAGCAGAUAUAAAAUAAGAAGAUUAUAUACUAGAAUCUAUAUAUUUGUUGAGAUAUUUUCAAAUAUAUAUUUAUAUUUUGAAUGGACAAUCUUCCAGCAACCUGAGUUUGAAUUAUUGUCUGAUACCUAGCCAUCUUUCAUGUAUUGGGCAAUGCUUUUUUCAUGGAAGUUUAUAUAUUGGGCAAUAUUUUCUUACUCACUACACAUGUCUCCAAAACAUGAGUUAAAUAUUAUGGAGUAAGUCUGAAAAAAAAAGUUAUUUUCUUUUUCUAGCAAUUCAGACCAUUCUAUCAAUCAAGUGGACAUAUAACUAUUUAAUGCAAAAUAAAAAUCUAAAGAAUAAAAUUCCAAGCUUUAUAAUUUUUAUUCUUAUUCUUCUAUUCUUUAGAGUUUAAGAAAUAUAUUCUUAAUAAAUUUACACACCUCUAUAGCAUUUCUGCUUGACACAAAAUACAUAUUUUAUGGAUAAUACAGUACACUGUAUAUACAUAUAUGAAAUGUUAUGCAACUGUGAAAUAUAUAGGUGACCCUGUUGUCAAGGGAAUCCAGAAAAAUUAUUUUUCAGUUGCACAUACCAAUUUAUGCCAAAAUAUAUUAAAGGGAAUUAAGUAACACAUGACUUAAUGUUUGUGUAGACAACUAAAUAAAAUAAAAUCAUAGAAGUGAUGCUGUAAGAAAUAUUGGGACUUAAAGAAGUUUGGAGGUUUUGCAAUGAUGUUGAAAUGUAUAGAACCCAUAGUAUUUUACUAAGAAGAUUAUCUGGAUUUUAUUUUAUUUUUUUGAGAGACAACAAAAACUGUUCUAUGAUGUUGGCUUCUAUUUAAGUCAUAAAACUUCUAUUGAAAGCCUAGGACUCUGUUCUACAUGUUGGGACCACCAAGAUGAGUGAGAUUUGAAGCCUGUCCUCUGGG
rnacentral:lncRNA from 10 species